rnacentral:rRNA from 1 species
CAGAUGGGAUUAGCUAGUAGGUGGGGUAACGGCUCACCUAGGCGACGAUCCCUAGCUGGUCUGAGAGGAUGACCAGCCACACUGGAACUGAGACACGGUCCAGACUCCUACGGGAGGCAGCAGUGGGGAAUAUUGCACAAUGGGCGCAAGCCUGAUGCAGCCAUGCCGCGUGUAUGAAGAAGGCCUUCGGGUUGUAAAGUACUUUCAGCGGGGAGGAAGGGAGUAAAGUUAAUACCUUUGCUCAUUGACGUUACCCGCAGAAGAAGCACCGGCUAACUCCGUGCCAGCAGCCGCGGUAAUACGGAGGGUGCAAGCGUUAAUCGGAAUUACUGGGCGUAAAGCGCACGCAGGCGGUUUGUUAAGUCAGAUGUGAAAUCCCCGGGCUCAACCUGGGAACUGCAUCUGAUACUGGCAAGCUUGAGUCUCGUAGAGGGGGGUAGAAUUCCAGGUGUAGCGGUGAAAUGCGUAGAGAUCUGGAGGAAUACCGGUGGCGAAGGCGGCCCCCU